rnacentral:misc_RNA from 1 species
GUGACGGCUGGUCUUAAAUGCAUUAGCUGACCCAUGUUGUAUAUUUGGUUCUACUCGGCGUGAUAAGUUCUGACCGCUGAGGACAUCUGCUUUCGGGCGGAUGGCCAGACAUACCUUGGAUUGCUUCUAAUCUGUACGUCUUUGACGACAACCUUUCAAUUUUUGACCUCGAAUCAGGCGGGACUACCCGCUGAACUUAA